ensembl:piRNA 21ur-1637 ncRNA
UGUGUAAAGCGUGUACUUCAA